rnacentral:lncRNA from 1 species
AUCAGUCUUCCCAUUGUCCUUCAACCUUAGAGUGAUAUUCAAGAAGCUAUGUUCUGGAUCCUGAGUACACAGUCUUGAGAAGUUAAGUCUCUGGAACAGACGAGUCCUUCCUCUAUCCUAUUAUAGUCAUAAAGUUCCAAACAGUAUCAUAUAGAACAUGAAGACAGUGAUAUAGGGAAGUAUUAUGUUUGUUAAUUUUUACUUUACUUUGCCUUCUACUCACAAAAACAAAAUUCUAGCCCUCUGUUCAAAUUUUUAGAGAAAGUCAGAAGCAUCCUAAACAAAAAAUUCACAAAAGUAGUGCUUCUCAUGAAAUAGCAUGAAGCAGGACAGAUGAUAGAAAAUUAACCCAUGUAAAAAUGAUCAGGGUAAAACUUUCCAAGGCUAAAGAGCAGGAAAGAGGGGAGACAGUGGGUAAGAGGGAGAGAGAGGAGACAGGAGCAUAUGGAAAACAUGCAUGUUUUCUUGACAAUUCACAGCAAAAUUCUUUCUUUAGAUUACUACUGGGAUUACUCAAGCAAGGAAAGAUGAACUGUUGGUGAAAACAGUGGCUGAAGGUAAGAAUUUUAUUUCCGAGAAUGGGGAAGCCAACGAUAUUCAGGCAAAAUCUCCAUGACUGGG